AACAGCGGGUCCAAUAGGUCCAAGUGCUACAAGCGAUAACUAGUAAAACAGUAAAGAAGUAAAGGGUGGACUGGGGGUUAAAGGGGAGGUUGUGUAGUGGGUAGAUCUAUCUGGAGAAUUAUAAACAUUAUCUUAUGCUUGGAGAGGCGGAACCUCUCGAAAGUUCCGAGUAUUCCUUUUGUAAUCGUUUCCUUUUGAGUAAUCUGAGAUCGAGUUUGCCUUGCUUAAUUUGUUAUUGUAGUAAGUGUGAGCAUCACAAGUGGUAUCAGAGCAUUUACGAUCCAUGGGUCCUCCAACUGUAACUCAGCGGCUUGAUCAGUUAGAGGAGAAGGCGACGGAGGUCGAGGAGACGAUGGCUGAAAUGGCUGCCAAGGUUGUAGAUCGAGCUAUAGAGGCGAUGCGUCUCUCUCUUACGGAGUUGAUUCGUGAGCACCAAACCCUAGCCGCCACGAAGUUGAAUGCUGAUUUUGAAACCCUAGCGGGUCGUUUGGAGGGUCGCAUAAACCGCAGUAGAGAGCACCAAGAGGCACUCAUCAACGCGAUUCGUACUGAACAGCUUACGUUUCAGGGCGACAUCAAAUCUACUCUUGCUGGCUUGGUAGCCUCUACUCCAGGCCCUGAACGUGGUGAAGGCAGUGGUCCAGGACAGCCCAACCACCAGGGUUCGGUGUACACAACCGGGGCUUCCGGGCGAAAUGGUGGUGGGUAUACUGGGGGGUUUCAGGGCGGAGGCCAGAGUAAUUGGCGAUAUCGGAAGCUAGACAUGCCUAUUUUUGAUGGUGAGGAUCCUGAUGGCUGGAUCCUGCGAGUCGAGCGUUAUUUCGCAUUUUAUCGACUCUCGGAAGACGAAAUGUUGGAGGCAGUUGCCGUAGCUAUGGACGGCGAUGCUUUGCGUUGGUACCAAUGGGAGAACAAGCGCCGUCCAAUUCGUCGAUGGGAUGAUCUGAAAGGAUUUAUUCUAAGGCAGUUCAGGUCCGUUAGUGGCGGUUCUCUAUAUGAGCAGUGGCUCUCGACCACUCAGUCGACCACAGUGAAAGAGUAUAGACGGGCUUUUAUAGAAAAGGCUGCCCCUCUUGAUAGGGUUUCGGAAGAUGUGCUGAUGGGGCAUUUUAUUAAUGGUCUGAAGGACGAAAUUAAGGCUGAGGUACGUGUGCUGAGUCCCUUAAAUCUGGAACAAGCAAUGGAGCUUGCAGUUCGUAUAGAGGAAAAGCAAAGGGUUGCGAGUUUUAGGAAGCCCAACUUGAGUUUGGUUAAAACAGGAACAUUCUCCUCUUAUACCAAGGGCAGUUCGACGGUGGCUCCACUUUCGUUGUCCAGUCCUAGCACUCCAGGAACCAGUCGUAGUUGGGGGCCAGCCUCUCCCGAAUCUCAGGGAUCUGUCCAGUCUCCCCAACAUUCGGUGUUGAGUACUAAGCGAAGUGGCGACGUGAGGCGUUUGACAGAUAAGGAAUUGCAGGAGAAAAGGGCCAAAGGUCUGUGCUACAGGUGUGAUGACAAAUGGGUUAUGGGCCAUAAAUGUAAACGCAAGGAGCUGAGUGUCCUCCUAAUUGAGGAUGAAACAGAGGAGGGUUUGAGUGACGAAGGUGACCCUGUACCAUCUCCGACCGCUGAGAUAGUGCCGGAAGUAUCUUUGAAUUCGGUGGUAGGAUUCUCUGCCCCGAAAACCAUGAAACUACGAGGGCUUAUUGGUAUGCAAGAUGUGGUGGUCCUUAUUGACCCUGGAGCCACCCACAAUUUUCUAUCUCUCAAUGUGGUGACUGCAGGGGGUAUUGUGGUCACGCCUACUGGUAGCUUUGGGGUUUCUUUGGGUAAUGGUGAAGCUGUGCGCGGAGUUAGGUUGUGUAAAGGUGUUCGAGUGCAAUUGGAUGGAGGGUUGGAGGUGGUCGAAGAUUUCCUGCCGCUAGAGUUGGGUAGUACUGAUGUCAUUUUAGGGGGGUAAUGGCUAGAGAAAUUGGGUGAGGUUAUGACGAAUUGGAAGACGCAGGUGAUGCGCUUCGAUUCAGGGGGUGAGUUAAUUACACUGGUAGGUGAUCCGUCCUUAGUACGCACCCAAAUAUCGUUGAAAGCUAUGUUCAGGACGAUUAAGAAGACGGGAGGAGGAUAUCUAGUCGAAUGUCAGUCAAUUGAGAACAAGUUUGCGCUGUCUAUGAAGCAGAGGCCACCACUGGACAUACCUGAGUUUCUUCAGCCACUCAUUACUCAGUACCAGCAGAUUUUUGACAGUCCAAAAGGGCUGCCUCCAAGCAGGGGACACGAGCACUCUAUUGUGUUAAAGACUGGCAGUGAUCCUGUGGGAGUCAGGCCAUAUCGAUACCCACAAAACCAGAAGGACGAAAUUGAACGGCUGAUUACUGAAAUGUUGACAGCAGGUAUUAUUCAGCCUUCGACAAGCCCUUUCUCCAGCCCUGUACUGUUGGUAAAGAAGAAGGACGGGUCAUAGCGCUUUUGCGUGGAUUAUCGCGCCCUUAAUAGAGAAACCGUACCUGAUAAAUAUCCAAUUCCGGUCAUCGAUGAGUUGUUGGACGAGCUACAUGGGGCAUCAAUCUUUACAAAGCUCGACUUGAAAUCUGGUUAUCAUCAGAUUCUAGUUAAGGCUGAAGAUAUUCAUAAAACCGCAUUCCGGACACAUGACGGACAUUACGAAUUUCUCGUAAUGCCCUUUGGAUUAAUGAACGCGCCGGCAACUUUUCAGGCGUUGAUGAAUGACUUGUUUCGACCUCUGCUAAGGAAGACAGUAUUGGUAUUCUUUGACGACAUAUUAGUCUAUAGCAAGAACAGAGAAGAGCAUUUGCAGCAUGUGGCCGAAGUUUUUGAAAUUUUGCGCUCCAACUCUUUGUUUGUGAAUCUGGGAAAGUGUGAGUUUGGGCAAGGUACACUGGGUUACCUGGGCCAUGUGAUUUCGGCUGAAGGGGUUGAGAUGGACAUGGACAAGGUGAAGUCAAUGCUCGAGUGGCCACAGCCCAGAAACUUAAAGCAAUUGAGGGGGUUCCUUGGACUUACCGGGUAUUACAGGAAAUUUAUAGGUGGAUACGCUGAAAUAGCAAGGCCUCUCACUGAACAACUCAAGAGGGACAAUUUUGGGUGGUCUCCAGCUGCUACAUCUGCUUUCGAAGCAUUAAAGGCAGCCAUGACUAGAGCUCCUGUCCUCGCCAUGCCUAAUUUCAAAGAACUAUUUGUUAUUGAAACGGAUGCCUCGGGUUACGGCCUUGGUGCAGUGCUGAUGCAGAAUGGUAGACCAAUCGCGUUUUACAGUAAGUUGUUGGGGGUAAAAGCACAGCAGAAGUCGAUAUACGAGAAAGAGCUGAUUGCAAUUUGUAUGGCAGUACAGCGCUGGAAACACUACUUAGUAGGGCGCCAUUUUGUGGUGAGGACUGACCAGCAAGCUCUAAAAUAUGUGUUGCAACAGCGUGAAAUCAAUCCGGAGUAUCAGAAGUGGAUUAUCAAACUGCUGGGUUUUGAUUUUGACAUUCAGUUCAAGACAGGUGCGUCCAACCGAGUCGCCGACGCCUUGUCCAGAAAACAAAAUGGCGAGAUAGGUUUACAGUCGAUGGCAUCAUUUCACAGUGUCGAUUGGGGGACCAUUGAGUCUGAGGUUUUAGCCGAUAAAGUUCUUCAGGGCAUUGUUUCGGGCCUGAAAUCGGGAGGUUGUCAAUUGGGGGGAUUCUCAUUGGAGGCAGACAGAUUGUAUUUCAAAGGAAGGGUGGUUCUUCCUCGCACAUCGACGUUGGUACCAACUUUACUCUAUGAGUAUCAUGACUCAGUUGUUGGAGGACACGCAGGGGAGUUGAAAACUUACCUGCGAAUGUCGAAAGAUUGGUUCUGGGUAGGCAUGAAACGGGAUGUUAUUGCAUAUGUCCAAAAAUGCUCUGUCUGCCAAACACAAAAAGCAUCUCAACAGCAUCCUGCAGGCUUAUUGCAGCCACUGCCACUGCCAUCGAUGGUUUGGGAGGAUAUUACUAUGGACUUCGUGGAAGGAUUGCCGUUGUCCAAGGGGUUUAAUACUAUUCUAGUGGUGGUGGAUCGCUUGUCCAAAUAUGCACAUUUUAUCGGUUUGAAACAUCCUUUUGAUGCAUCUACGGUGGCUGCAAGAUUUAUUCAGGAGAUUGUACGCCUUCAUGGUUUUCCAGCCUCAAUUAUUUCAGACCGGGAUCGUAUUUUUAUGAGCUUGUUUUGGAGAGAGCUAUUUAAGCUACAGGGAACGCAGCUGAAACGCAGCACAGCGUACCAUCCCCAAACGGAUGGGCAAACUGAAAUUGUGAAUAAAGGGUUGGAAACUUAUUUAAGGUGUUUUGUUGGGGGACAGCCGCAGGGCUGGGCAAAAUGGUUAGCAUGGGCAGAGUUUUCAUACAAUACUUCUCCCCACUGCUCAUCGAAAUUCAGUCCUUUUCAGAUUCUAUAUGGGAGAGAACCUCCGCAUGUGCUGCGUGUGAACAAGGGUAGAACACCAGUCCAGAGUUUGGAAGAGUAUUUGCUUGACAGGGACGCCAUACUGGAUGACCUGCAAUUUAAUUUGCUUAAGGCGCAGCAGGGGAUGAAGCUAGCAGCGGAUAAAAAACGGAGGCCUGAUUCUUUUGUUGUCAAUGAAUUAGUGUACUUGAAAUUGCAACCGUAUCGUCAACGAUCACUGGCUAAGCGUCCAUAUGGGAAGUUAGCACCCCGUUUCUAUGGGCCUUUCAAAGUGCUUCAGCGCAUUGGUCAAGUGGCUUACAAACUAGAGCUUCCUGAAGAAAGUAAGAUUCACCCGGUAUUUCACAUAUCUCAACUUAAGCGUGCAGUGGGAGAAGUACUGGUGUCCCCUACUCUUCCUCCACAGCUAAAUGAGGAGCUGGAAAUGGUGGUGGAGCCUGAAAUGCUACUGAAUGUUCGACAGCAUCAGGCAGAUGUGGAGGUGUUGGUAAAAUGGAAGAGCCUUCCUGUCAGUGAGGCCACCUGGGAGAGUGCUGAUGUUCUCGAUCAUUUGUUUCCUGAUUUCCACCUUGAGGACAAGGUGUCUCUUUGGCGCCGGGGUAAUGUGAUGCACCAGGAUGGGCCUAAGGCGUUAAUUGCAUAUAACAGGCGGAGGCCCAAAGACAAGAUAAGCAGCCCAACAGCGGGUCCAAUAGGUCCAAGUGCUACAAGCAGUAACUAGUAAAACAGUAAAGAAGUAAAGGGUGGACUGGGGGGUUAAAGGGGAGGUUGUGUAGUGGGUAGAUCUAUCUGGAGAAUUAUAAACAUUAUCAAGCUUGGAGAGGCGGAACCUCUCGAAAGUUCCGAGUAUUCCUUUUGUAAUCGUUUCCUUUUGAGUAAUCUGAGAUCGAGUUUGCUUUUGCUUGCUUAAUUUGUUAUUGUAGUAAGUGUGAGCAUCACAUCUUGCAAUGCCAUGUAGCCUGAACCAUAAAUCUUUUCGUGGACUACCCUUCAGGUACCUGAGUAUCCUGAAAGUUGCCUCCAAAUGCUCCAUUCUGCAUAGAUUUACUUAAAUUGAAAACAUCGUAUAUAAUAUCUGGAAAGAAGUAGAUUAUUUUUUGUACC
rnacentral:lncRNA from 1 species